rnacentral:rRNA from 1 species
UACGUAGGGGGCAAGCGUUUGUCCGGAAUCAUUGGGCGUAAAGAGCGCGUAGGCGGCCCGAUAAGUCCGCUGUGAAAGUCAAGGGCUUAACCCUUGAAUGCCGGUGGAAACUGUCGGGCUAGAGUCCGGAAGAGGCGAGUGGAAUUCCCGGUGUGAGCGGUGAAAUGCGCAGAUAUCGGGAAGAACACCCGUGGCGAAGGCGGUUCUCUGGGACGGUACUGACGCUGAGACGCGAAAGCGUGGGGAGCGAACAGG